rnacentral:rRNA from 1 species
UACGACUCUCGGCAACGGAUAUCUCGGCUCUCGCAUCGAUGAAGAACGUAGCGAAAUGCGAUACUUGGUGUGAAUUGCAGAAUCCCGCGAACCAUCGAGUCUUUGAACGCAAGUUGCGCCCGAGGCCAUCCGGCCGAGGGCACGCCUGCCUGGGCGUCACGC